GCGGGUGUGAUGUAGUGGUAGCCUGUCAGCCUUCCAAGCUGAACGUGCGGGUUCGAUUCCCGCCACCCGCUCCA
rnacentral:tRNA from 1 species